AUUGAACGCUGGCGGCAGGCCUAACACAUGCAAGUCGAGCGGAUGAAGAGAGCUUGCUCUCUGAUUUAGCGGCGGACGGGUGAGUAAUGCCUAGGAAUCUGCCUGGUAGUGGGGGAUAACGUUCCGAAAGGAACGCUAGUACCGCAUACGUCCUACGGGAGAAAGCAGGGGACCUUCGGGCCUUGCGCUAUCAGAUGAGCCUAGGUCGGAUUAGCUAGUUGGUGAGGUAAUGGCUCACCAAGGCUACGAUCCGUAACUGGUCUGAGAGGAUGAUCAGUCACACUGGAACUGAGACACGGUCCAGACUCCUACGGGAGGCAGCAGUGGGGAAUAUUGGACAAUGGGCGAAAGCCUGAUCCAGCCAUGCCGCGUGUGUGAAGAAGGUCUUCGGAUUGUAAAGCACUUUAAGUUGGGAGGAAGGGCAGUAAGUUAAUACCUUGCUGUUUUGACGUUACCGACAGAAUAAGCACCGGCUAACUUCGUGCCAGCAGCCGCCGUAAUAC
rnacentral:rRNA from 1 species